rnacentral:lncRNA from 1 species
UCAGUUGUUAAAUUUGAUUUUUUUUUUAAGUCAGGAAUUCCAAGGGGGACGGAAGAAGGAAGGGAAGGGGAGAGAGAGGGAAAGAGAAAGAAAGAAAGAAAGAAAAUAAAUAAAUAAAAAGAAAUGAAAAAAAGAAAGAAAGGAAAGAAAAAGAAAGAAAUAGAAUAGAAUUAUUUAUUGGCCAAGCGUGAUUGGGCACCCAAGGAAUUUGUCUUGGUUCAAAUGCUCUCAGUGUAUAUAAAAGAAAAGAAAAAGAAAGAAAGAAAGGAAAGAGAAAGAAAGAAAGAAAGAAAGAAAGAAAGAAAGAAAGAAAGAAAGACUAGGAAAAGAAGGAUGCAUUAUGUUAUUGGUUCCAUACAAGCACCAGGUGUUAAAAGAGAUGCCACAAAAUUCUUUGUAGUGUUGAAUAUUUUUCCUUCACUGACUGUCAAUACUGAAUGAGAGUUUUGGCAGGCAAAUGUGUUUGACAACUCAAAUACAAACCUAACAAGGUCUGGAGGACAGUCAUGAAAUCAUAAGCUUAAAGUAGCAACUGGACCAAAGUGAGGUUGAUUUUAAGAUGCCUUCUGAGGGUGCUGAUGCUAUCUUGACUUAUGUCUUCCAGGUGCUCUGGAUCCCAGUCUUCUGGUGGCUCAACUCUCCAGUGGAAGCAAGGGCCAUUAUCUGGGAAGUCCAAACCUUCAAUUCUCACGUUAUAACAAACCCCUUUACCAGCUGCUGGGUGGCCAGACAACUACCAGGCAGGUGGGAGCAACCUCUCAAGGAGCUUACAGCCUUGAAAACUGUGUCACCAAACUGGCAGAGAUGGAACGCCGGGUGCGGGAAGCCAUGGCUGAACGAGAACGAUUGCUGCAAGAAAGGGUAAGAGGUUGAAAUGAGCAGACUUGGCUGCUGGACCAUAGUCAAGUUUUUGUCAUACAUUCAUCCAUCCAUCUAUCUAUGGCAGUGGUGGCUAACUUGUUUGGGCUCCUGUGCCCAAAAUUGUGUGCAAGCUUGCAUGUGCGCACUCACAUGCCAGCACCCAGAAAGCAAUGCAUGCGACCCCCAUGCCCCCUGUGCAAUACCUCCCCUGCUGCUCCACCCACUGUUCCCUUACCUGCACUGUGCCUCACAGCUGAUUUUUGGCUGGUUUGAG